rnacentral:rRNA from 1 species
UACGGGGGGGGCAAGCGUUGUUCGGAAUUACUGGGCGUAAAGGGCUCGUAGGCGGCCAACUAAGUCAGACGUGAAAUCCCUCGGCUUAACCGGGGAACUGCGUCUGAUACUGGAUGGCUUGAGGUUGGGAGAGGGAUGCGGAAUUCCAGGUGUAGCGGUGAAAUGCGUAGAUAUCAGGAAGAACACCGAUGGCGAAGGCAGAUCUCUGGGCCGUUACUGACGCUGAGGAGCGAAAGCAUGGGGAGCGAACAGG